AUUUUAGCAUUGUGUUGUUCUACUUUAAUUAUAUUGAAAAAAAAUGAAACUUUUAACACGGUAUUGCAUGCAAUAUUGCAUUGUUCUAUCUCCUUAAUGAGCAAACUUGAAAAUAUUAUCUUGUUGUAUCUCCAAUCAACCAAUCAUAUUACAAUUUCAAAGUUGUUCGGAAUAAUUUUAUCAGUUUUGUUGUUUUCAAAAUGGCAACUGCAAAUAUUGACCAAGAAAUGGAACCUGCCCUAAAUCAAAACGAAGAGCUGCUUGGCAUUACACCUUCUCGUCGGUAGCCCCAUGGUGGGGUUUCUAGGAAACGUAAAGCUGAUAGGAGUAGUUGGAAACAAAGUGUAAGAAAAAUCCAACGUCAGUCGGGUAAAGCUUAUAAAAUACGAAAUGAGAACAAAUGCCAAAAAGAUCUAUUGUUGCACUAAAAAGUUGCAGAAAUUGUAAAUUUAAAUGUUCUACCAAUAUAUCUGAGAUUGAGCGUCAAAUAAUAUUUGAUAACUUUUGGACCUUAGAUGAUGACGGAAAAAAACAUUUCUAUUCUAAAACUACUGAAAACCUGGAGAAAAAACGCUGUCGGACAGCUGCUGGUGACAAUUCAAGAAGAAAAACAUCUUAUUAUUAUAGCUUUUUUGUUUCUAAUACACAAUAUAGAGUUUGUAAAUCAUAUUAUCUUUCAACAUUGAAUAUUAGCAUCCAUAGAGUGUUUUACUUUCAUAAGUUUAAUAAAUCUUUAACUACUGGAACACCAUUGCAAUCAAAAUCAGGGAAACAUGUUAAAAAAAGGUUACUAGAAGAGUCUAAACAAGUUGUACGAGACCAUAUUAACCUUUUCCCAAGAAUUGAUGCUCAUUAUAGCAGGAAAAAGACACAUAAAGAAUACAUGGAAGGAUCA